rnacentral:rRNA from 1 species
AGGCUUAACACAUGCAAGUCAGGGGCAGCAUAAACAUUGCUUGCAAUGUUUGAUGGCGACCGGCGCACGGGUGCGUAACGCGUAUGUAACCUACCUCAAACAGGGGCAUAACACUGAGAAAUUGGUACUAAUUCCCCAUAACACUUUGGGAGGCAUCUCCUGGAGUUGAAAGUUCCGGCGGUUUGAGAUGGACAUGCGGCGCAUUAGCUAGUUGGCGGGGUAACGGCCCACCAAGGCGACGAUGCGUAGGGGUUCUGAGAGGAAGGUCCCCCACACUGGUACUGAGACACGGACCAGACUCCUACGGGAGGCAGCAGUGAGGAAUAUUGGUCAAUGGGCGGGAGCCUGAACCAGCCAAGUCGCGUGAGGGAAGACGGUCCUAUGGAUUGUAAACCUCUUUUGUCGGGGAGCAAAGAGGCCUCGUGAGGUCAAAAGUGAGAGUACCCGAAGAAAAAGCAUCGGCUAACUCCGUG